AUGAACGCUAGCGGCAGGCCUAAUACAUGCAAGACGAACGGUAACUUUUGUAGCAAUAUGAGAGCUAAAGUGUCGUAAGGGUGCGUAACACGUAUGCAAUCUGCCCUCAACAGGAGGAUAGCUCCCCGAAAGGGGAAUUAACACUCCGUAAUAUUAUGAGGUGGCAUCAUUUUAUAAUUAAAACUGAGGUGGUUGAGGAUGAGCAUGCGCAUGAUUAGUUAGUUGGCGGGGUAACGGCCCACCAAGACGAUGAUCAUUAGGGGAACUGAGAGGUUGAUCCCCCACACUGGCACUGAGAUACGGGCCAGACUCCUACGGGAGGCAGCAGUAGGGAAUAUUGGACAAUGGGUGCGAGCCUGAUCCAGCCAUGCCGCGUGCAGGAAGACGGCCUUCUGGGUUGUAAACUGCUUUUGCCAGGGGAUAAAAAGUCCCUGCGGGGAAAAUUGAAGGUACCUGGUGAAUAAGCCACGGCUAACUACGUGC
rnacentral:rRNA from 1 species